GACAGAGGUGCCGAGCGUUAGGCGGAAUCACUGGUCUUAAAGCGUGUGUAGGCGGAUCUGUAAGUACCUUGUGAAAUCCCACGGCUCAACCGUGGAACUGCUUGGUAUACUGCGGGUCUUGAGCUAUCUAGGGGCAACUGGAACAAACGGUGGAGCGGUGAAAUGCGUAGAUAUCGUUUGGAACGCCAAUGGUGAAAACAGGUUGCUGGGGAUAUGCUGACGCUGAGACACGAAAGCCAGGGGAGCAAACGGG
rnacentral:rRNA from 1 species